UCCCUCAUAGCUCAGUUGGUAAAGAAUCUGCCUGCAAUGUAGGAGACCUGGGUUCGAUUCCUGGGUUGGGAA
rnacentral:tRNA from 1 species